rnacentral:rRNA from 1 species
GACGAACGCUGGCGGCGUGCUUAACACAUGCAAGUCGAGCGGUAAGGCCCUUUCGGGGUACGACGAGCGGCGAACGGGUAGGAGUAACACGUGGGUGGACCUCGCCCUCCAGCUCUGGGAGUAAGACCUCGGGAAACCGGGGUACGUAAUAACUGGAUAUGACUCCAUGACGCAUGUUGUGGGGUGGAAAGCCUUGUGCGGCUGAGGAUGGGCCCGCGGCCUAUCAGCUUGUUGGUGGGGUGANGGCCUACCAAGGCGACGACGGGUAGCCGGCCUGAGAGGGCGACCGGCCACACUGGGACUGAGACACGGCCCAGACUCCUACGGGAGGCAGCAGUGGGGAAUCUUGCGCAAUGGGCGAAAGCCUGACGCAGCGACGCCGCGUGAGGA